GAGAUCUGUGGAAAAUGACAGACUUCAUAAAUCUUGGGAUUCUAUAUCCUUUCCUCUUUUCCAGGGUACAAGAAGUCCAUUAAAGAUUUCUUGCUUUUCUGGGUAAGGUGACCAACAAGAUGGAAAACUAGAUAUUUUCUUCAAUCUUCAAACCCUCUCAAACCUUUCCAAAAUAGGGAUUAUGCAGAAGCAAUAAAGCAAUUUCAGCUCUCUUCACAAUCCAGGACACUAAGAACCCAAACAAGGUUAAAUUUGAUGAACUGAAAACAGAGAAAGUUAAUUAUCCCUAUUAUCUAUCCCUAAAUGUGUCAAGAUAGAGUUAACUCUCCCUUUGUCUAUUUUAAGUUAGUCAAAUCAAGAACUUGAAGUGCCUCUCCUUAGCACAUGGUAGGCAACUAGGUAGGAGAGUUCACAAGUCACUUACUAGCUCUCACCUCCAAAGACCACAGCAUUAUUCUUCCCUCCCUCCCAACCCCGUUCUCCCCUGCCCCCCCCCCCAAGUGCUGGGCAAAUUGAAAGACUGUAAUUGGUUCCUGUAAAGAGGAAGAGAGACAGGAAGUGACAUGGAAAAAGGGGGAUAAAAGGCCAAGCCCAAGGACUGUAUCACUCACUUUGCAUUAGUGAGUCAAGUGGAAGGGAAACUUUUUCCUGGACUCAUCCUGGGUUGGAGCAUUCUACGCUGGAGAGGCUUGCUGGUUGAGUGAUUCAUGCUGAAGAAAGAGGAAUUUUAGGUGCCUAAGGAAUGUCAAAACAUUGAGUCCAAAGAUUCAAUUUAAAGGGUCUCCAAAGAAACUCCUUCCCUCCCUCCAACCUUUCAUCUUUUGUUCAGGUCAGAAGUCAUCAUCUUUGACAUCUUUAAAAGAUUCCACUACACAUGUAAUAAGUGUCUAUUACGUGCAUAACAUUUAACUGGACAUGGGACAAACAAAGCAGCAAAGUCCUACCAUCCUCAAAGAGUCCACAUCAUGUA
rnacentral:lncRNA from 1 species